AGUUGAUGCACCCGGUGGUUUUUUCCUCCCAGUGCCACCGCAUCAGCUGUUCCCCUCUGGAGGUUUUAUUAGACCUUCAAAACUAUACGGGCCUCGGAGAAAUCCUGAGGCCCUUUUUU
rnacentral:sRNA from 1 species